AAAGACUUUAAUCAACUGGCGGAUGCUUAGUGAAGAAAAAAGACACUCGAAGUCCACGUGUUCUAAUCGGGAGUCCAGGGGCCUGCACAGCUGGAUCACCUGAAGGAGAGACGACACCUGUCAGGUAUGAAGAUGCCAAAGUACCACCAGUGGAACAUUCUAGCCCACGAUCAACCUGAGAAACCAAAGUCGUUGCAGAAUUACCCAGCUAAUGUGUUUCUGCAGUGCAGAUUGCUCCAGUGAAACUAGUAAAAGAAACAGCACCAUCACUUGAACUGACAAGGAGAGGAGGAGGCCUAUAAGGAGCCACUUACUACAGAAGCAAAUUCAAUAAGUGAAUUAUGGUUUAAGAGAAAUCGAAUGCUUAGGAACAAACGUGAAGCUUUCCCUUU